rnacentral:rRNA from 1 species
AUUGAACGCUGGCGGCAUGCCUUACACAUGCAAGUCGAACGGCAGCAUGGGUGCUUGCACCUGAUGGCGAGUGGCGAACGGGUGAGUAAUGCAUCGGAACGUACCCGGAAGUGGGGGAUAACGUAGCGAAAGUUACGCUAAUACCGCAUAUUCUGUGAGCAGGAAAGCGGGGGAUCGCAAGACCUCGCGCUUCCGGAGCGGCCGAUGUCGGAUUAGCUAGUUGGCGGGGUAAAGGCCCACCAAGGCAACGAUCCGUAGCGGGUCUGAGAGGAUGAUCCGCCACACUGGGACUGAGACACGGUCCAGACUCCUACGGGAGGCAGCAGUGGGGAAUUUUGCGCAAUGGACGAAAGUCUGACGCAGCAACGCCGCGUGGGUGAUGAAGGUCUUCGGAUUGUAAAACCCUGUCGCCAGGGACGAAGGGUGAGGUGUGAAUAGCGCCUUACUUUGACGGUACCUGGAAAGGAAGCCCCGGCUAACUCUGUGCCAGCAG